rnacentral:rRNA from 1 species
CGGAGGUGCAAGCGUUAUCCGGAUUCACUGGGUUUAAAGGGUGCGUAGGCGGGCAGGGAAGUCCGUGGUGAAAUCUCCGAGCUUAACUCGGAAACUGCCGUGGAUACUCUCUGUCUUGAAUACUGUGAAGGUGAGCGGAAUAUGUCAUGUAGCGGUGAAAUGCUUAGAGAUGACAUAGAACACCAAUUGCGAAGGCAGCUCACUGCGCAGUUAUUGACGCUGAGGCACGAAAGCGUGGGAUCAAACAGGAUU